GGUCUCCUGGUGCUUACUACAAACUGUGUUCUUACAUUGACUGUACAGAAAGAAGAGCUGAAGUAAACCUACUCCAUGUACACACAGCAGGCCCUGUGCCUGGUCUGUCUGGUUUGUAAUGUGAAUGUGACAUGG
rnacentral:snoRNA from 1 species